rnacentral:rRNA from 1 species
UACGUAGGGGGCUAGCGUUGUCCGGAAUCAUUGGGCGUAAAGCGCGCGUAGGCGGCCCGGUAAGUCCGCUGUGAAAGCCCCGGGCUCAACCUGGGAAUUGCAUUCGAGACUGAAUAGCUAGGGUACGGUAGAGGGAAGCGGAAUUUCCGGUGUAGCGGUGAAAUGCGUAGAUAUCGGAAGGAACAUCAGUGGCGAAAGCGGCUUCCUGGACCAGUACCGACGUUCAGGCACGAAAGCGUGGGGAGCAAACAGG